rnacentral:rRNA from 1 species
GACGAACGCUGGCGGCGUGCUUAACACAUGCAAGUCGAACGGAAAGGCCCUGCUUUUGUGGGGUGCUCGAGUGGCGAACGGGUGAGUAACACGUGAGUAACCUGCCCUUGACUUUGGGAUAACUUCAGGAAACUGGGGCUAAUACCGGAUAGGAGCUCCUGCUGCAUGGUGGGGGUUGGAAAGUUUCGGCGGUUGGGGAUGGACUCGCGGCUUAUCAGCUUGUUGGUGGGGUAGUGGCUUACCAAGGCUUUGACGGGUAGCCGGCCUGAGAGGGUGACCGGCCACAUUGGGACUGAGAUACGGCCCAGACUCCUACGGGAGGCAGCAGUGGGGAAUAUUGCACAAUGGGCGGAAGCAUGAUGCAGCAAAGCAGCGUGCGGGAUGACGGCCUUCGGGUUGUAAACCGCUUUCGCCUGUGACGAAGCGUGAGUGACGGUAAUGGGUAAAGAAGCACCGGCUAACUACGUG